UACGAAGGGGGCUAGCGUUGUUCGGAUUUACUGGGCAUAAAGCGCACGUAGGCGGAUCGUUAAGUCGGGGGUGAAAUCCUGGAGCUCAACUCCAGAACUGCCUUCGAUACUGGCGAUCUCGAGUCCGGAAGAGGUGAGUGGAACUCCUAGUGUAGAGGUGGAAUUCGUAGAUAUUAGGAAGAACACCAGUGGCGAAGGCGGCUCACUGGUCCGGUACUGACGCUGAGGUGCGAAAGCGUGGGGAGCAAACAGG
rnacentral:rRNA from 1 species